ACGGGUGAGUAACGCGUAAGAACUUGCCCUUUAGACUGGGAUAACAGAGGGAAACUUCUGAUAAUACUGGAUGAGUUAGUAUAUCGCAUGAUAUGCAAAUGAAAGCUACGGCACUAAAGGAGAGCUUUGCGUCCUAUUAGCUAGUUGGUAAGGUAAGAGCUUACCAAGGCGAUGAUAGGUAGCCGGCCUGAGAGGGUGGACGGCCACAAGGGGACUGAGAUACGGCCCUUACUCCUACGGGAGGCAGCAGCC
rnacentral:rRNA from 1 species